rnacentral:rRNA from 1 species
UACGAAGGGGGCUAGCGUUGUUCGGAUUUACUGGGCGUAAAGCGCACGUAGGCGGAUCGAUCAGUCAGGGGUGAAAUCCCAGAGCUCAACUCUGGAACUGCCUUUGAUACUGUCGAUCUGGAGUAUGGAAGAGGUGAGUGGAAUUCCGAGUGUAGAGGUGAAAUUCGUAGAUAUUCGGAGGAACACCAGUGGCGAAGGCGGCUCACUGGUCCAUUCCUGACGCUGAGACGCGAAAGCUAGGGGAGCGAACAGG